GAGUUUGAUCAUGGCUCAGAACGAACGCUGGCGGCGUGGAUAAGACAUGCAAGUCGAACGCUAAUUCUGGUGUAGCAAUAUAUCAGAGUUGGAGUGGCGCAAGGGUGCGUAACACGUGGGUAAUUUGCCAUGAAGUUGGGGAUAACUCGCUGAAAGGCGAGCUAAUACCGGAUGUGGUUUUUGGAAGGCAUCUUCUGACAACUAAAGCUGGGGAUCGUAAGACCUGGCGCUUCAUGAUAAGCCCGCGGCCUAUCAGCUAGUUGGUGAGGUAACGGCUCACCAAGGCUAAGACGGGUAGCUGGUCUGAGAGGACGACCAGCCACACUGGAACUGAGACACGGUCCAGACACCUACGGGUGGCAGCAGUCGAGAAUUUUUCUCAAUGGGCGCAAGCCUGAAGGAGCGACGCCGCGUGGGGGAUGAAGGGUUUCGAUCCGUAAACCCCUGUCAUUUGUGAACAAUGGUUAUUAUUUAAAAGAUGAUGACUUGAUAGUAAUGAAAGAGGAAGGGAC
rnacentral:rRNA from 2 species